UGGGGAAUAUUGGACAAUGGGCGAAAGCCUGAUGCAGCAACGCCGCGUGAGGGACGACGGCCUUCGGGUUGUAAACCUCUUUUAGCAAGGAAGAAGCGAAAGUGACGGUACUUGCAGAAAAAAGCGCCGGCUAACUACGUGCCAGCAGCCGCGGUAAUACGUAGGGCGCAAGCGUUAUCCGGAAUUAUUUGGGCGUAAAGAGCUCGUAGGCGGUUUGUCGCGUCUGCUGUGAAAACCCCGAGGCUCAACCUCGGGCCUGCAGUGGGUACGGGCAGACUAGAGUGCGGUAGGGGAGAUUGGAACUCCUGGUGUAGCGGUGGAAUGCGCAGAUAUCAGGAAGAACACCGAUGGCGAAGGCAGAUCUNUGGGCCCGUAACUGACGCUGAGGAGCGAAAA
rnacentral:rRNA from 1 species